AAAAGCAACUGUGUUUGCAGCAGCAAUUGUCAUUUUAACUGUCUGGCUAUCUUUGACUGCCUCUUCAGUUUGAAUUGUAUCCAUUUGUUUCAUUAAAAAGAUGCCUGGGUUGUAUUAUUCUCCUCUCUCUCUCUCUCUCUCUCUCUCUAUAUAUAUAUAUAUAGUAGAAUAUAUACUACUGCUACUGUUGUGAGUAAUAAACUGACCUUUGUCUCUGACCCUGGAAUCUCAAGACUUCUACCAACACCCAUGGAACUGUAACAGGCCUGCUAAAUAGCCGAAUCUCAAGACUUCUACCAACACCCACGGAACUGUAACAGGCCUGCUAAACAGCAGUUUGCAGGCACAAGAAGAAAGAAUUGAUCAAUUUAGAAUGUAUCAAAGGUCCUACCUGUAACUUUUUCUGAUUUCCGAAGAUAUUUUAUUAACUCGAUGUUAUUGUUCAGAUCAUUUUUGGCCAUCUGUCAUCACAGAAGGUGUAAAAACAAAUGCUAAUUGGUAAUACAGUAAAGCUUUUUAGCUUUAUUUCCCUGCCAUUUUAAACCAGAAGACUCAGGAACACUGAAGUUUAUUUGAAAAUAUUAAAAGAGAUUCAGA
rnacentral:lncRNA from 10 species